GACGAACGCCGGCGGCGUGCUUAACACAUGCAAGUCGAACGGAAAGGCCCCAGCUUGCUGGGGUACUCGAGUGGCGAACGGGUGAGUAACACGUGGGUGAUCUGCCCUGCACUCUGGGAUAAGCCUGGGAAACUGGGUCUAAUACCGGAUAGGACCGUGCUUUAGUGUGUGCGGUGGAAAGUUUUUCGGUGCAGGAUGAGCCCGCGGCCUAUCAGCUUGUUGGUGGGGUAAUGGCCUACCAAGGCGGCGACGGGUAGCCGGCCUGAGAGGGUGUACGGCCACAGUGGGACUGAGACACGGCACAGACUCCUACGGGAGGCAGCAGUGGGGAGUAUUGCACAAUGGGCGCAAGCCUAAUGCAGCGACGCCGCGUGGGGGAUGACGGCCUUCGGGUUGUAAACCCCUUUCGGCAGGGACGAAGCUUUUGUGACGGUACCUGCAUAAGAAGCACCGGCUAACUACGUG
rnacentral:rRNA from 1 species